rnacentral:tRNA from 1 species
GGCCCUUUAGCUCAGCGGUUAGAGCAUGCCUCAUAAUCGCCUGGUCGUUGGUUCAAACCCAACAGGGGCCACCA